rnacentral:tRNA from 1 species
GGAGAGAUGGCCGAGUGGUUGAUAGCUCCGGUCUUGAAAACCGGUAUAGUUCACAAGAAACUAUCGAGGGUUCGAAUCCCUCUCUCUCCU